rnacentral:rRNA from 1 species
ACUGCCUGAUGGAGGGGGAUAACUACUGGAAACGGUAGCUAAUACCGCAUAACGUUGCAAGACCAAAGAGGGGGACCUUCGGGCCUCUUGCCAUCGGAUGUGCCCAGAUGGGAUUAGCUAGUAGGUGGGGUAACGGCUCACCUAGGCGACGAUCCCUAACUGGUCUGAGAGGAUGACCAGCCACACUGGAACUGAGACACGGUCCAGACUCCUACGGGAGGCAGCAUG